UUGAUGUUUUAGUUCUACAGCUAGGAAGACUAAGAUUCAGAGGGUGUUAAGUAAAUACCUUUGUGAUUGUCAUCAGUGGCAAAGCGAGUUCUAAAAAUCUCAAUUCCAAGUGGCCCGGGCAACUAUUUCUUGUGCCAUGUUGCCUAGACGCCCAGCUGUCUCCGUAAUGGCACUUGAAUUUGUUGUACUUACUGACCAGGAGACUCAAAAGGGAGGCUCUGACUCAAAAGUCAGAACUUUUGUUUCUCAAGCAAAAAUGAAUAAAAUAAGGUCAUUAGAGCACAUGCUAUAACCUCUGUGCGACGGAGCCAGGAAUACAGAUCACCACGAGAGAAAUAUUUGCGGAGAGUCACACGCAUGUCCACAGCGGCUCACCUAGAACGCAACCCCUUGUCUUCUCAAAUCAUUUCCACCUGAAAACUGAACGUGACUGUGAUAGAAGAGGAGUGAGUAUGCUGCAGUUAAAAGCAUGGGCUUUAGAGAAAGGCAAAUCUGAGUUUGAAUCAUGGCUUUUCCACCUCUAGCUGAGUCACUCCAGGCAAGUUCCUCAACUGUUUAUCUCAGAUUCUCAGUGAUCCUGUCUGUAAAAUGGGUAUAUUUAUAUGGUUUGAAUAAGGUAAUAUAUGGAACACACUUAAGAACCUGGCACAUACCGGCAGGUGCAUGAUAAGCUACUCUUGCUCAUUCGUUUGUUCAGUGUUUAUCUGGUGGCUACGGUGGGCGAGGCCCUGGCUAGGCACUGAGGUAGUGGUGGGCAGAGACCAGUGCCCCACACCCCAACUAUACCAUGUGGGGAAAAUAUUUCCUUCCACAGAGCAUCUGGAAACAGGCUCCAGAUCAAGAGAUGAUCUAGAUGCCGUCCAAGCAAUCUGUCAAUGGCCUGGGCUCUCGAUUCCCGCCACAUGCUCCUCUUGCAGUUUCGUGGUUCAGUCUAAUUCAGAUAAUCACAUUGUCCCUGCUAGUGUGUGGCAGGCCCUGGGCUAAGUCCUGUAAAGGGCACCAAGGUGAGAAAGUUGAGGACCUUGGCCACGGUGACAAUGCCAACAGGAUGAUGACUGAGAUGGUAAAGGGACAAAACCUGUCCCAUGAGGAAUGUCUGCAGGAGCCAGUCUUUUUAGCUUGACACUACAAGGCCCAGGGAGUCUUCUAUUAUCUGAAGCCUAUUGCAGGAAAUGGCGUCAAGUGUCAUUUUGGGGUUCCUGAGCUGUGGAACCAGGGGCCGUGGUAGAAAUGACCGUAAGGUAUAUUUUGUCUAGUUAAAAUGAACAAAGCUUUCUAAUAUCUUUGGGUGUCCAGCAAUAGAACAGGCUGUCUGGUAAGUAAAGCCAACGCUAACUCCUCUAUUUCUGGAAGUGCUCAGGAAAAGGCUGGAUAAAUACCCACAAGCGUGAGAUAACGGGAAUGCCUGCUUUGGGUGGGAAGUUCGAUGGAGUGACCUCUAGGCUUCCAAGUAGCUCAGAGACGCAAGAUUCUGUUUCCAUUGUCAGGCUCACACCCCCUUCCCUUGGAUGCCUGCCAGCUUCCUCCCUCUGGGGCUCACCCUGCAGCUUACCUCAGUCCUUCCUGAGCCCGGCUCCUGAGCCUUGCCGUGCCAACUCACCACCCCUGGGACCCCCACGCCAGGCUGCUGGGGCACGCA